UACAGAGACUGCAAGCGUUACUCGGAUUCACUGGGCGUAAAGGGCGCGCAGGCGGUAGACCAAGUCAGGCGUGAAAGCCCUGGGCUCAACCCGGGAAUUGCGCUUGAUACUGGUGCGCUUGAAUCCAGGAGAGGUUGGUGGAAUUCCCAGUGUAGAGGUGAAAUUCGUAGAGAUUGGGAAGAACACCGGUGGCGAAGGCGGCCAACUGGACUGGUAUUGACGCUGAGGCGCGAAAGCGUGGGGAGCAAACAGG
rnacentral:rRNA from 1 species